CAGUGAUGCCAACUUCGCUGUCACUGACUGACAAACACACAAACGCCCACUUAGAAGGGCAGGCGGAGCACCUGGGGCAAUAAGUGACCACCGUCAGACAUUCUGCAUAAGGCUGAGACACAAGUGGACCAUCUUCAACGACCAGCACUGAGAAACCGCCCAGUGAGGACACUUAGCUCCGCCCCUUCUGGUUCCUCAGCUGCCCGGAAGGAGGCGUCUUUUCGCAACCAGAGCGAUCCACCCGAUGGAACUCCUACCAGCUAGACCCUGAAUCUGUGACUGAAGCUGAACCCAUUUGUUUAGAGCAGUGAUGCCAACUUCGCUGUCACUGACUGACAAACACACAAACGCCCACUGAGGAGGGCAGGCAGAGCACCUGGGGCAAUAAGUGACCACCGUCAGACAUUCUGCAUAAGGCUGAGACACAAGUGGACCGUCUUCAACGACCAGUGCCCACACAGUGUCUUCUCCUUUGUGCCCCUCGUCUAGAGCCAUGUCACCUUCACAACCCUGGAGACACUUUCUUCUCCUCCUGGUGAUCUACUAUCUGAUCCAGUUGGAUGGAUUCCUCCUGUUGGAUGGAAGCAAUAAUCUGAAGGUGGUCGUGAUGGGAGCCAGGGGGCUGCACGGCGACCCGGCGGGUGAGACGGACGCUUACGUCAAAGUAUCGUAUGGCUUCACUAUCAAAAAGACGCCUCACAUCAAGGAAAAUGACAACCCGGACUGGAACCACAGCUUCGAUUUCGGCAAAGUCGUUCCAGGCUACAAGAUGCAGUUCGAUGUCUAUGACAAGGAUGUCUUCUUCGACGACUGGCUGGGUCGCUGCGUAGUGCCGAUCAGUAAUAAUGGCACUGGGAGCUGUGAUUUGGUGAGAGGGGGCACAUUUUUCUACCGGUUCUCCGUCUCAUAACUGGCUGGCCUACAAACUCAGAAAGCCUUCCAUGGAAGACCACCCAAUGAAAUCUUUGAGAAUUUGAUGUCAUUUCUUGGAGAUUUUAGUCUCUUUAAUGGCAAAGCGUUGAAUAAAACAAAUUUAAAUAGAA